CCAAAGGCUCUUUUCAGAGCCACCUACAUGAUAUAUAGAAAGCUGU
rfam:Loxodonta africana unplaced genomic scaffold scaffold_44, whole genome shotgun sequence.